rnacentral:rRNA from 1 species
AGUGAACGCCGGCGGCAGGCCUAACACAUGCAAGUCGAACGGCAGCACAGAGGAGCUUGCUCCUUGGGUGGCGAGUGGCGGACGGGUGAGGAAUGCAUCGGAAUCUGCCUAUUUGUGGGGGAUAACGUAGGGAAACUUACGCUAAUACCGCAUACGUCCUACGGGAGAAAGUGGGGGACCUUCGGGCCUCACGCAGAUAGAUGAGCCGAUGCCGGAUUAGCUAGUUGGCGGGGUAAAGGCCAACCAAGGCGACGAUCCGUAGCUGGUCUGAGAGGAUGCUCAGCCACACUGGAACUGAGACACGGUCCAGACUCCUACGGGAGACAGCAGUGGGGAAUAUUGGACAAUGGGCGCAAGCCUGAUCCAGCCAUGCCGCGUGUGUGAAGAAGGCCUUCGGGUUGUAAAGCACUUUUGUCCGGAAAGAAAAGCGCUCGAUUAAUACUCGGGUGUUAUGACGGUACCGGAAGAAUAAGCACCGGCUAACUUCGUGCCAGCCGCCGCCGUAACAC